rnacentral:rRNA from 1 species
GACGAACGCUGGCGGCGUGCUUAACACAUGCAAGUCGAACGAUGACGACCGACCUUGCUCGGUCUGAUUAGUGGCGAACGGGUGAGUAACACGUGAGCAACCUGCCCUUCACUCUGGGAUAACCUCGGGAAAUCGGGGCUAAUACCGGAUAUGAGCUCCUGUCGCAUGGCGGGGGUUGGAAAGUUUUUCGGUGAAGGAUGGGCUCGCGGCCUAUCAGUUUGUUGGUGGGGUAGUGGCUCACCAAGGCGAUGACGGGUAGCCGGCCUGAGAGGGCGACCGGCCACACUGGGACUGAGACACGGCCCAGACUCCUACGGGAGGCAGCAGUGGGGAAUAUUGCACAAUGGGCGAAAGCCUGAUGCAGCGACGCCGCGUGAGGGAUGACGGCCUUCGGGUUGUAAACCUCUUUCAGCAGGGAAGAAGCGAAAGUGACGGUACCUGCAGAAGAAGCGCCGGCUAACUACGUG